rnacentral:misc_RNA from 1 species
AAUCCCCAUGGGUUUUUCGACCUGUGGGGACUUGGACCUGGGCGUUGCCUACCAAGGCUCGCCUCAAAUGACUCAGUGGGAACUUCUUGACCUACGCCUGACGUGAUAAGUUUCGUCUCGGCCGGUCUUGAGGCCCGCUCACAACAACCCAUCUUUUUGACAUUGACCUCAAAUCAGGUAGGGCUACCCGCUGAACUUAA